UACGUAGGGUGCAAGCGUUGUCCGGAAUUAUUGGGCGUAAAGAGCUCGUAGGCGGUCUGUCGCGUCGGCUGUGAAACCCUGAGGCUCAACCUCAGGCCUGCAGUCGAUACGGGCAGACUAGAGUGCGGUAGGGGAGACUGGAAUUCCUGGUGUAGCGGUGAAAUGCGCAGAUAUCAGGAGGAACACCGGUGGCGGAGGCGGGUCUCUGGGCCGUAACUGACGCUGAGGAGCGAAAGCGUGGGGAGCAAACAGG
rnacentral:rRNA from 1 species